rnacentral:rRNA from 1 species
UUAGAGUUUGAUCCUGGCUCAGAUUGAACGCUGGCGGAAUGCUUUACACAUGCAAGUCGAGCGGCAGCGCGGGGCAACCUGGCGGCGAGCGGCGAACGGGUGAGUAAUGCAUCGGAACAUGUCCAUGUCGUGGGGGAUAGCCCGGCGAAAGCCGGAUUAAUACCGCAUACGCCCGAGAGGGGAAAGUGGGGGACCGCAAGGCCUCACGCGAUUGGGUUGGCCGAUGUCCGAUUAGCUAGUUGGUGGGGUAAAGGCCUACCAAGGCGAUGAUCGGUAGCUGGUCUGAGAGGAUGAUCAGCCACACUGGGACUGAGACACGGCCCAGACUCCUACGGGAGGCAGCAGUGGGGAAUUUUGGACAAUGGGGGCAACCCUGAUCCAGCCAUUCCGCGUGAGUGAAGAAGGCCUUCGGGUUGUAAAGCUCUUUUGUCCGGAACGAAACGGGUAGGUCUAAUAAGCCUGCCUACUGACGGUACCGGAAGAAUAAGCACCGGCUAACUACGUGCCAGCAGCCGCGGUAAUACGUAGGGUGCGAGCGUUAAUCGGAAUUACUGGGCGUAAAGCGUGCGCAGGCGGUUUUGUAAGCCAGAUGUGAAAUCCCCGGGCUUAACCUGGGAAUGGCAUUUGGGACUGCAAGGCUGGAGUGCGGCAGAGGAGACUGGAAUUCCUGGUGUAGCAGUGAAAUGCGUAGAUAUCAGGAGGAAUACCGAUGGCGAAGGCAGGUCUCUGGGCUGACACUGACGCUCAUGCACGAAAGCGUGGGGAGCAAACAGGAUUAGAUACCCUGGUAGUCCACGCCCUAAACGAUGUCGACUGGUUGUUGGGGGUUUGACACUCCCAGUAACGAAGCUAACGCGUGAAGUCGACCGCCUGGGGAGUACGGCCGCAAGGUUAAAACUCAAAGGAAUUGACGGGGACCCGCACAAGCGGUGGAUUAUGUGGAUUAAUUCGAUGCAACGCGAAAAACCUUACCUACCCUUGACAUGUCCGGAAGCCUGCUGAGAGGCGGGUGUGCCCGAAAGGGAACCGGAACACAGGUGCUGCAUGGCUGUCGUCAGCUCGUGUCGUGAGAUGUUGGGUUAAGUCCCGCAACGAGCGCAACCCUUGUCAUUAGUUGCUACAUUCAGUUGGGCACUCUAAUGAGACUGCCGGUGACAAACCGGAGGAAGGUGGGGAUGACGUCAAGUCCUCAUGGCCCUUAUGGGUAGGGCUUCACACGUAAUACAAUGGCGCGUACAGAGGGUUGCGAAGGGGUGACCUGGAGCCAAUCCCUUAAAGCGCGUCGUAGUCCGGAUUGGAGUCUGCAACUCGACUCCAUGAAGUCGGAACCGCUAGUAAUCGCGGAUCAGCAUGUCGCGGUGAAUACGUUCCCGGGUCUUGUACACACCGCCCGUCACACCAUGGGAGUGGGUUUCACCAGAAGCCGGUCGCCUAACCGCAAGGAGGGCGCCGACCACGGUGAGAUUCAUGACUGGGGUUAGUCGUAACAAGGUAGCCGUAUCGGAAGGUGCGGCUGGAUCACCUCC